rfam:Listeria phage A511, complete genome.
GGAAGGUUGGUAGAGCUUGGUAAUACGCUAGUCUUGAAAACUAGUUUGCCCUUGGAAUACAGGGUACAAGGGUUCAAAUCCCUUACCUUCCU